rnacentral:rRNA from 1 species
AGGGUUCGAUUCUGGCUCAGGAUGAACGCUGGCGGCGUGCCUAAUACAUGCAAGUCGAACGAGAGUGCUUGCACUCGAGUGGCGAACGGGUGAGUAACACGUAGGUAACCUGCCUUACAGUUUGGGAUACCCGAGGGAAACCUUGGCUAAUACCGGAUAAUUCUUUUGGAGGCAUCUCCAGAAGCUAAAAGGGGCCUUUAAAGCCUCGCUGAAUGAUGGACCUGCGGCGCAUUAGCUAGUUGGUGAGAUAACAGCCCACCAAGGCGAGGAUGCGUAGCCGACCUAAGAGGGUGAACGGCCACACUGGAACUGAGACACGGUCCAGACUCCUACGGGAGGCAGCAGUAGGGAGUUUUCGGCAAUGGGGGAAACCCUGACCGAGCAACGCCGCGUGAACGAUGAAGGUCUUCGGAUUGUAAAGUUCUGUUAUAAGGGAAGAAUGAUAGCUCGAGGAAAUGCUAGUUAUUUGACGGUACCUUAUUAGAAAGCCACGGCUAACUACGUGCCAGCCGCAGC